UACGGAGGGUGCAAGCGUUAUCCGGACUUAUUGGGUUUAAAGGGUGCGCAGGCGGUAUGCUAAGUCAGUGGUGAAAUGUUGUAGCUUAACUGUAGAUGUGCCAUUGAGACUGGUGUACUUGAGUUAUCAUGAGGUAGGCGGAAUGUGUAGUGUAGCGGUGAAAUGCUUAGAUAUUACACAGAACACCGAUUGCGGAGGCAGCUUACCAAUGGUCGACUGACGCUCAGGCACGAAAGCGUGGGGAUCGAACAGGAUUAGAUACCCUGGUAGUCCACGCCGUAAACGAUGAUGACUCGCUGUUGGCGAUAUACCGUUCAGCGGCUUAGUGAAAGCGUUAAGUCAUCCACCUGGGGAGUACGCUCGCAAGAGUGAA
rnacentral:rRNA from 1 species